rnacentral:misc_RNA from 1 species
GAAUAUGAAGCUGGCUCUUAAAGUUCGUGAUGUUCCGCAGCGAACGUGUUAAAAAGUAAAUUUUAAACAUAUAACGUGUUACUGCAUAGCCUCUCCUCACCACAUGAAGAAUAUUAUCAGGGGAAGUGAGAUUAAGCCCAUCCAGUAGAACGAUCGAUCCGAUUCGAUGCUUCUGGAUCACAAGGACGUCAGGUAUGUUCGGGUUGGCAGCCGAUUGAAUCGACACGGCGAUUCCCUCGUCGGAGAGACACGCGAUCAAAGGUCUUGUGAAAAAAGUACAUAAAGAUUUGAUCGUACUCACCAAAAGAAGUUAAAUCCUGGAAUAGUACUACUUGGUCCCAAUCUUUCCAUUUAGCAAAUUCCAAGAUCAAUUGCAAUAUCAACGGCGAGGGUAAGAUGCAGGUGCUCGUGACCAUGUAAAAUGUCGCCGCCA